rnacentral:rRNA from 1 species
AGUGAACGCUGGCGGUAGGCCUAACACAUGCAAGUCGAACGGCAGCACAGUAAGAGCUUGCUCUUACGGGUGGCGAGUGGCGGACGGGUGAGGAAUACAUCGGAAUCUACUUUUUCGUGGGUGAUAACGUAGGGAAACUUACGCUAAUACCGCAUACGACCUACGGGUGAAAGCAGGGGAUCUUCGGACCUUGCGCGAUUGAAUGAGGCGAUGUCGGAUUAGCUAGUUGGCGGGGUAAAGGCCCACCAAGGCGACGAUCCGUAGCUGGUCUGAGAGGAUGAUCAGUCACACUGGAACUGAGACACGGUCCAGACUCCUACGGGAGGCAGCAGUGGGGAAUAUUGGACAAUGGGCGCAAGCCUGAUCCAGCCAUACCGCGUGGGUGAAGAAGGCCUUCGGGUUGUAAAGCCCUUUUGUUGGGAAAGAAAAGCAGCAGGUUAAUACCCCGCUGUUCUGACGGUACCCAAAGAAUAAGCACCGGCUAACUUCGUG